rnacentral:rRNA from 1 species
GACGAACGCUGGCGGCGUGCCUAAUACAUGCAGGUCGAGCGCAGGAAAUCGACGGAACCCUUCGGGGGGAAGUCGACGGAAUGAGCGGCGGACGGGUGAGUAACACGUAAAGAACCUGCCCUCAGGUCUGGGAUAACCACGAGAAAUCGGGGCUAAUACCGGAUGGGUCAUCGGACCGCAUGGUCCGCGGAUGAAAGGCGCUCCGGCGUCGCCUGGGGAUGGCUUUGCGGUGCAUUAGCUAGUUGGUGGGGUAAUGGCCCACCAAGGCGACGAUGCAUAGCCGACCUGAGAGGGUGAUCGGCCACACUGGGACUGAGACACGGCCCAGACUCCUACGGGAGGCAGCAGUAGGGAAUCUUCCACAAUGGACGAAAGUCUGAUGGAGCAACGCCGCGUGAACGAUGAAGGCCUUCGGGUCGUAAAGUUCUGUUGUAAGGGAAGAACAAGUGCCGCAGGCAAUGGCGGCACCUUGACGGUACCUUGCGAGAAAGCCACGGCUAACUACGUGCCAGCCGCCGCCGUAACAC